CAGCCGCCACGGUAAUACGAAGGGUGCAAGCGUUAAUCGGAAUUACUGGGCGUAAAGCGUGCGUAGGCGGUUUGUUAAGUCUGCUGUGAAAUCCCCGGGCUCAACCUGGGAAUGGCAGUGGAUACUGGCAAGCUAGAGUGUGUCAGAGGAUGGUGGAAUUCCCGGUGUAGCGGUGAAAUGCGUAGAGAUCUGGAGGAAUACCGAUGGCGAAGGCAGCCAUCUGGCCUAAUACUGACGCUGAGGUACGAAAGCAUGGGGAGCAAACAGGAUUAGAUACCCCAGUAGUCCCUGUCUCUUAUAC
rnacentral:rRNA from 1 species